GACGAACGCUGGCGGCGUGCUUAACACAUGCAAGUCGAACGGAAAGGCCCUGCUUUUGUGGGUUGCUCGAGUGGCGAACGGGUGAGUAACACGUGAGUAACCUGCCCUUGACUUUGGGAUAACUUCGGGAAACUGGGGCUAAUACCGGAUAGGAGCUCCUGCUGCAUGGUGGGGGUUGGAAAGUUUCGGCGGUUGGGGAUGGACUCGCGGCUUAUCAGCUUGUUGGUGGGGUUGUGGCUUACCAAGGCUUUGACGGGUAGCCGGCCUGAGAGGGUGACCGGCCACAUUGGGACUGAGAUACGGCCCAGACUCCUACGGGAGGCAGCAGUGGGGAAUAUUGCACAAUGGGCGGAAGCCUGAUGCAGCAACGCCGCGUGCGGGAUGACGGCCUUCGGGUUGUAAACCGCUUUCGCCUGUGACGAAGCGUGAGUGACGGUAAUGGGUAAAGAAGCACCGGCUAACUACGUG
rnacentral:rRNA from 1 species